CGCGGCCGUUACGGGAGCGCAGCGGGCGCUGAGGGGGCCCCAUGGCUGCGUCGCUGGGGCCGCUGGUGGGAGCCAUCGAUCAGGGCACCAGCUCCACCCGCUUCCUGGUGUUUAAUGCAGGAACAGCAGAGCUCUUGAGUCACCAUCAAGUGGAACUAAAGCAAGAAUUCCCUAAAGAAGGAUGGGUGGAACAAGAUCCAAAGGAAAUAUUAGACUCUGUCCAUGAAUGUGUGGAAAGGACCUGUGAGAAAAUGAAAGAACUGAACAUAGACAUCGCUAACAUAAGAGCCAUUGGAGUCACCAAUCAGAGAGAAACAACAGUGGUUUGGGACAAGACAACUGGAGAACCUCUUUAUAAUGCUAUUGUGUGGCUUGACCUGAGGACCCAGUCAACUGUUGAACGUCUUCUUAAAAGAAUUCCUGGACAAAACAAAAAUUUUUUAAAGUCUAAGACCGGUCUUCCACUUAGCACUUACUUUAGUGCAGUGAAACUUCGGUGGCUCUUGGAUAAUGUGGAAGAGAUUAAGAAAGCAGUUGAGGAUGGAAGAGCUGUGUUUGGGACUAUUGAUUCAUGGCUUAUAUGGAGUUUGACAGGUGGAAUAAAUGGAGGCAUUCACUGUACAGAUGUCACCAAUGCCAGUAGAACAAUGUUGUUCAACAUUCAUUCCUUGGAAUGGGAUCCUGAGCUCUGCAAGUUCUUUGAAAUUCCUAUGGAAAUACUUCCAAACAUACGAAGCUCCUCUGAGAUUUAUGGUGUGAUGAAAAUCUGUCCUAGCCGGGAAUCUGGAGCUUUGACAGGUGUACCAAUUUCUGGGUGCUUGGGAGACCAGCAUGCUGCUCUUGUUGGGCAAAUGUGCUUUCAAGAUGGACAAGCAAAAAACACGUACGGAACAGGUUGUUUCUUGCUGUGCAACACAGGUCAGAAGUGUGUGUUUUCUGAGCACGGUCUUUUAACCACACUAGCUUACAAAAUGGGCAAAGACAAACCUGCUUUUUAUGCACUGGAGGGAUCUGUUGCAAUAGCUGGGGCUGUCGUUCGCUGGCUGAGGGACAAUCUGGGUAUUGCUAACUCUUCCCUGGAAGUUGAACAACUGGCUGCAGAGGUGGGAACUUCCUAUGGCUGCUACUUUGUGCCAGCAUUUUCAGGACUGUAUGCACCAUACUGGGAACCCAGUGCAAGGGGUAUCAUCUGUGGCCUUACUCAGUUUACAAAUAAAAACCACAUUGCCUUCGCUGCACUAGAAGCAGUCUGCUUUCAAACACGAGAGAUUCUAGAUGCUAUGAACAAGGACUGUGGGAUUCCACUAAGUCAGUUACAAGUAGAUGGAGGAAUGACCAGUAACAAAAUCCUCAUGCAACUUCAAUCAGACAUUCUCUGUAUUCCAGUAGUAAAGCCAUCAAUGGCUGAAACAACAGCUUUAGGAGCAGCUAUGGCAGCAGGAGCUGCAGAAGGUGUUGAAGUUUGGAGUCUGAAUCCUGAAGAUUUGACAGCAGUGACAUGGGAACGAUUUGAACCACAGAUAAACCCAGAGGAAAGUGAAUAUCGCUAUGCCAGGUGGAAGAAAGCUGUGAUGAAGUCUAUGGGAUGGGAGGCAUCUGACAGUACAGAUGGUAAACCAAAAAUUAAUGCAGGUCAAGUGUUAUUAAUUAGCCAGUUAACCUAGGGAGCUCAUCUUGCUUUUGUUGACCUUUUCUGUUCAUGCCAUCUCUGGACUAUUAUAGUGAUUUAAAGGUCAUUACUUAAAUCCGCUGUGGAAACAAAGCAGGAAAAUCUGGGUCUUCCUCCCGAAUAGCUGCAGGUUUUGCAGGAUGGCACUGGUUUGCAAAAGAAAAAAAUCUCACCUGCAAGACGAGAUACAGCACAAUGCUUAGAGCACAGGGACUUUGUAAACCUUCUUAUACCAUAACCUCAUGCUGCAAAGGAGAAAAGUUCCAUCCUGUGGUUUUGCUUGCUGUAUCUGCCUUCAUUAUUUGCUGUGUAGGAAGGAGGGAUUCAUAUCCAUAUUAAAAUCUAUUUGACCCAUAGAGGGUAAGAGCAAGGAGUUAUCAUAAAGUAAAGAAUUACACAGACCUAUUGUUUACAUACAGAAAGUAUGAAAACACUUCUGAGGGACUGAACAAGAAUUUUCUUCUGUAGUAGAGGGCUUUCUCAUCUGUCAUGUUUGAAUUAAUUAAGCCUGCAGUCUUCCUGUGAUCUAUAAUUUGAAUGUUUAUUUUAGUACUAUUUUGGGAUAAAUUUUUAGUCCUGAGUAAUAAUAUAACAUAUAAUUUAUGGGCUUUAUCAAUUAUAUUUAAUUUCCCUUUUAUUGGAAAAACUAUUAAAAUGAAAAGUAUUAAGUAAAGAAUCCUCAAAAUUUAAACUCCCUUCACAAUCCAUAAUCCACAGUUGGAGCCCUCAAGCUGCAUGUGGCCACUUCCUUCUUGAAAGCUAAAAUAUUCCUUUUGCCAUCCUAUAUGUUGGUUUAAAUAUUUUACUUAACACUGUGGUUUACAAGCAAUUCUGCCAAGGCUAUUGGGAAGGGAAACAGGUGAAUUAACAUGAGCAAUAUGAUUUCCUUCAGUAUUGACCUUUAUGAUUUAGUACCCUUACAUCUAACCUGAUGCUUAUCUUACUAGGAUAAAAAAUUCUGCCUUGCAGUAAAUAAAUCUAGAUGGUUUUUCUUCAGUUUAUGUGAAGAGAUAUGUUUAUCAAAACUUAAUUUAGUGAUUUUUCUGGUCUAACACCUGGGGGGCAAAUGUUAUUUUCCUUAGUUCUUUGAUACUUUAGGGCUAGGUUGGGAUUGGAGUAUACUAGAAAUGGGCUGAACCUGGAUUGUGCUGAUAGUGAAAUUUGGACUUGAACUCUUACAGAGAGAACCUAUUUUUAAUUAUUAUGGGGUUUAUGCAAAAUAUUUUUUUAGUUCUUCUGCCAAUGUCACUACAUUUGUUACUUUUUGCUUUUCAUAUAUAUUUAACACAUAUGCUGCAAUUUAUAUAUAUAUUUCUCUUUUGAUUUGCUUGACUGGAAACACCAUCCCUGGAUGCCAUCAGGUGAAUGAGGCUACUUCGUGGACUCACCGGAGGCAGCUGAUUUUUUGUUUCGGUUUGUUUUGUUGUCUGAAGAGAUUCCACCACCAACGUGAUUAUGCUGCUUUUGUGGUUAAAUAUAUUCACGAAUCCAUCUGUCACCAGUCUCUGCAUAACUUCCCUGUGGUGCACUGAAAAUUCAGUCUUCAGCCCUUCAUUACUCUGUUCCCUUACCCAAAUCAGCUCCAACUGCACUGGAAGCCUUUGUGUGGAUGAUCUCACAUCAUCCUCUAAAAUCUCACAAGCCCUAGCUUUGUCUGAGAAAGUGGUAUGACAAAACCCUGCAGUCUCUGAGGUAAUGAUGGCAGAUGUUUAGCUGUCCUUUUCAGGAGUUUGGUACUUCAUGCAACAUACUUCAGAAAGUUAAUGAUGCACUAUGGAACCUUAUUAACAUCCUACAAUUCUUCCAGCUGCUGUGAAUUACUUUUCAUAUGCCAAUGGUUGCCAAAGAUGUUUUAUUGUAGUUGCCACUGGUGUGAAACAUCUUCCAUGGUACAAACCUUUUGAACACUAGCCCAAGAUGGAUAACCAUAGCACACAUUGCCUCUGUUUUGGCCAUGAGAAGUUUGCUGCUAUGGUCCACAGAGUAUUGCUGAAACACACAGUUGCAAGGUUAAAAAGUUGGGUUUGGUUCUGACACAUGAAGUCACUUGGCCCAUCGUAAGUAUUUAUGACACUAAAUUCUGUAGCUGUACCUUUAAAGAGAUAAGAGAAAAUAGUGUUUUGGUUAAGGCCAUGUUUCAUCCUGUGGUUUUGGGCUAGCUUGGAAAGACAAGUUUGGUACAGCAUGCUAUUGACAGGACAGCUGCUUGAUAACUCAGCAACUGAUAACUUUUCAAACUACUCUGGACAGUGCACUUUCCUUGACCAAUACUGCAUAUAUCCUGUCAUCCUGCUUAAGUGACUAUUUGUUAAACUUUAGAAAGUUGAAGCUAACUUAGUUUUCAUUGAAGAGGGUCCACUCCAAACUAAAUAUCAGUGCUUUAGUUCUUGAUUUCAUUUAGUAUAUCUCAGGGACCAAAAUCUCCCUUUCUGUUUCCUUGUCCAUAGUUUUAACUGCAAGUUGUUGCAAAAUAUGCUGGUACAAUCCAAAACCCUGACUCAGUAGACUAAGUACUGGCACCUGAAAUGGGCUACUGGAAUUUACAGACAAUGGUGACAGCUGAAUCCCAUCCACUUUGAAAUCCUUUGUUUUCCACAUGAAAGGAGUGAGGUAAUAAUCUUAUCUUUGGCUUUCCUGUUUGUACCAACAGCAUCCUAAAUGCCAGCCUUAUUGGUUAGGUCAAGGACAAGGUGUUCUUGUGUAGUUAUGUUAGACCAGUAUGGAAUGGCAGCAAGGUUAAAUGUGGGAACAACACAGAGAAUUUCAAAGAUGUGUUUAAAUGCACUAGGAGUUAAAGGGAGGGGUUUUUUGUGUGCAUUUGUUCUUAAAGAUUUUUGUCUUUAACAAAGUUUUUCUUUGAUUAGAGGCUUAGUUUUUAAAAGGAUGUUAUAUGUCUGAAGCAAUGAAUUGCACAGAAGUUCAGGUCUGUACAAUAUAGUUAAUAUCAAAUGCAUAUUAAUUGCCUUUUUAUUGUCAAGUGCAAUGACUUUUGAAAAUGUGACUUUUAACUUAGAAGAUAGAGAUGGAACACUUUUUUGUCCUGUGGUUGCAUGUAUAACUUCAGCAGAGAGAAGGGAUUUUGUAUACAAGUGAAAAUAUAACAGCAUCCUUCAAAUCCUGUCUCUCCUGUAAACACUCACAUGUGAAGCGUGACAGCCAAAAUUUCUGGUGUUUCCAGUUUGUAUUGGAGAGGUGAAGAGUAAAAAAAGAAUGUGAUCCCAUAGAAAAAAUCUCAUAUUCCUUACCUUUACUCUGAGCUGUUUCUGAUCCCACUGUACCCUGAGGAAGAGGAAUGGAGCAGCUGUGGAGCACAGGGAGCAGGGGCAGCACACACCUCAACCUCUGGACUUCGGAAUACAACCUCUGAGUCUUGCCAAAACCACUGAAGUGCUGGACCUGGGAACGAAUAAUGCUGAAGUGUGGCCUUUGCCUAUGAUAAAUGUGGCAGGGCAAAGCUUGUACCUGACAAGUAGGAGAGGGAAUUUUUGCUGCUUUUCUGACUUAUCUUUUACUGGGAAACACAAUUCCUAUUAAUUUUUCACUGAGUAAAAAUCAUUAUUUUAUUUUCAAUUGCUGUUGCAAAUGUUUUUUAAGAGUUUCACCACUGUUAACUUUCUACCAACAUAGUUGAAAUUUAUUGUAAACUGUUUGUUGGCGGGGAGGGGACAAACUGUUAAAGUUAGCUUUUUCUGAAGCUGUGAUUUAUUUUUUUUUUUAUGAAUUACCAGUUUAUAAAUUCUUAAUUGAGAAAUGCAUUAACUUGGUAUUAAAGUACCAUAAAUUAAUUGA